CAGCCACAGCAGCAGCGGUGCUGGUGGUGGUGGUGGUGGUGGCGGUGGCGGUGGAGGCGUUGCUGGCGCCGACCAAGUGCUGGAGGUGGGCAUACGCAUCAAGAACAUCAACAGAGCGCGCUUCUAAAUGCAGCCGUUGGAGCAGCUAAGGGAAAUGCAACAAACGUACAACUCGAAUGUGUGAGGGAAUAUAUUGAUUUACAUAUAUAUAUAUAUACAUGUAUAUUGGAAAGGAUUAGUAUUAAAAACGAAAUAUAUAAAACACACGGGGAAAGUAUUUCAAA